AUAUUAGUCAAUGCUCGAAAGAGUGAACUAGCUAACUGAAAUCAACGGUGUGUCAUCGUUGAUAAGGUAAGGGAAAAAAAUGAUAUUACCUUACUAUUAGUGUCGUCCAAGUACUCGUGCCAGAAGACUCGGUAAGGCGAGAGACGCAAACGUUAGUCGUCUUGAUCAGGCGUAAAGGGUUUGUAGGCGGCUUUAAGAAUUUUAUUUUUUUAAAAAUUACAUCCUUUUUAUAAAAGGACAUUAAAAAAAAUCAAUUAAAGCUAGAAUCAAAAAUAGGUUAAUUAAAUAAUACUUAGACUAAGAUUGGUAUCUGUAAAUUCUAAGCGGAAUACUAACGGCGAAGGCUUUUUUCCAAUAAUGAUUGACGCUGAGAAACUAAGGUGAGGAUAGACAAAAGGAUUAGAGACCCUCGUAUCCCUCACUGUCAACGAUGAAUGGUAGUUACUAGUUAAGUUAAAUUACAUAAUAACUACAAAACUAGAGACGAUGUUAACACGAAAACCAUUCCGCCUUGUGAGUACGACUGCAAAGUUGAAAACAAAAAAAUUAGUCGGUUUCGGAGCAAACGAAGUGAAGCAUGUUAUUUAAU
rnacentral:rRNA from 1 species